GACGAACGCUGGCGGCGUGCUUAACACAUGCAAGUCGAACGCUGAAGCUCAGCUUUUGUUGGGUGGAUGAGUGGCGAACGGGUGAGUAACACGUGAGUAACCUGCCUCCUUCUUUGGGAUAACGCCCGGAAACGGGUGCUAAUACUGGAUAUUCACUGGUCUUCGCAUGGGGGUUGGUGGAAAGGGUUUUUCUGGUUGGGGAUGGGCUCGCGGCCUAUCAGCUUGUUGGUGGGGUGAUGGCCUACCAAGGCUUUGACGGGUAGCCGGCCUGAGAGGGUGACCGGUCACAUUGGGACUGAGAUACGGCCCAGACUCCUACGGGAGGCAGCAGUGGGGAAUAUUGCACAAUGGGCGCAAGCCUGAUGCAGCGACGCCGCGUGAGGGAUGGAGGCCUUCGGGUUGUGAACCUCUUUCGCUCAUGGUCAAGCCGCAACAAUGGUUGUGGUGAGGGUAGUGGGUAAAGAAGCGCCGGCUAACUACGUG
rnacentral:rRNA from 1 species